rnacentral:rRNA from 1 species
UACGUAGGUGGCAAGCGUUGUCCGGAAUUAUUGGGCGUAAAGAGCUCGUAGGCGGUUUGUCGCGUCUGCCGUGAAAGUCCGGGGCUCAACUCCGGAUCUGCGGUGGAUACGGGCAGACUAGAGGUAUGCAGGGGAGAACGGAAUUCCUGGUGUAGCGGUGAAAUGCGCAGAUAUCAGGAGGAACACCGGUGGCGAAGGCGGUUCUCUGGGCAUUACCUGACGCUGAGGAGCGAAAGUGUGGGGAGCGAACAGG